rnacentral:rRNA from 1 species
GAUGAACGCUGGCGGCGUGCCUAAUACAUGCAAGUCGAGCGAACAGAUGAGGAGCUUGCUCCUCUGACGUUAGCGGCGGACGGGUGAGUAACACGUGGAUAACCUACCUAUAAGACUGGGAUAACUUCGGGAAACCGGAGCUAAUACCGGAUAAUAUAUUGUACCGCAUGGUUCAAUAGUGAAAGACGGUUUUGCUGUCACUUAUAGAUGGAUCCGCGCCGCAUUAGCUAGUUGGUAAGGUAACGGCUUACCAAGGCAACGAUGCGUAGCCGACCUGAGAGGGUGAUCGGCCACACUGGAACUGAGACACGGUCCAGACUCCUACGGGAGGCAGCAGUAGGGAAUCUUCCGCAAUGGGCGAAAGCCUGACGGAGCAACGCCGCGUGAGUGAUGAAGGUCUUCGGAUCGUAAAACUCUGUUAUUAGGGAAGAACAAAUGUGUAAGUAACUGUGCACGUCUUGACGGUACCUAAUCAGAAAGCCACGGCUAACUACGUG